GCACAAGCGGUGGAUGAUGUUGGUUUAAUUCGAUGCAACGCGAAAACCUUACCCACCUUUGACAUGGCAGGAAUCCCGAAGAGAUUUGGGAGUGCUCGAAAGAGAACCUGCACACAGGUGCUGCAUGGCUGUCGUCAGCUCGUGUCGUGAGAUGUUGGGUUAAGUCCCGCAACGAGCGCAACCCUUGCCAUUAGUUGCUACGAAAGGGCACUCUAAUGGGGACUGCCGGUGACAAACCGGAGGAAGGUGGGGAUGACGUCAAGUCCUCAUGGCCCUUAUAGGUGGGGCUACACACGUCAUACAAUGGCCGGUACAGAGGGUAGCCAACCCGCGAGGGGGAGCCAAUCCCACAAAGCCGGUCGUAGUCCGGAUCGCAGUCUGCAACUCGACUGCGUGAAGUCGGAAUCGCUAGUAAUCGCGGAUCAGCAUGUCGCGGUGAAUACGUUCCCGGGUCUU
rnacentral:rRNA from 1 species